AGUGAACGCUGGCGGUAGGCCUAACACAUGCAAGUCGAACGGCAGCACAGGAGAGCUUGCUCUCUGGGUGGCGAGUGGCGGACGGGUGAGGAAUACAUCGGAAUCUAGCUUUUCGUGGGGGAUAACGUAGGGAAACUUACGCUAAUACCGCAUACGACCUACGGGUGAAAGUGGGGGGCCGCAAGGCCGCACGCGAAUAGAUGAGCCGAUGUCCGAUGAGCUAGUUGGCGGGGUAAGGGCCCACCAAGGCGACGAUCGGUAGCUGGUCGGAGCGGGUGAGCAGCCACACUGGAACUGAGACACGGUCCAGACUCCUACGGGGGGGAGCAUUGGGGAAUAUUGGACAAUGGGCGCAAGCCUGAUCCAGCCAUACCGCGUGGGUGAAGAAGGCCUUCGGGUUGUAAAGCCCUUUUGUUGGGAAAGAAAUCCUGUCGAUUAAUACUCGGUGGGGAUGACGGUACCCAAAGAAUAAGCACCGGCUAACUUCGUGCCAGCAGCCGCAGUAACAC
rnacentral:rRNA from 1 species